rnacentral:rRNA from 1 species
UACGUAGGGGGCUAGCGUUGUCCGGAAUCAUUGGGCGUAAAGCGCGUGUAGGCGGCUCGGUAAGUCCGCUGUGAAAGUCGGGGGCUCAACCCUCGGAUGCCGGUGGAUACUGUCGGGCUAGAGUACGGAAGAGGCGAGUGGAAUUCCUGGUGUAGCGGUGAAAUGCGCAGAUAUCAGGAAGAACACCAACGGCGAAGGCAGCUCGCUGGGACGGUACUGACGCUGAGACGCGAAAGCGUGGGGAGCGAACAGG